rnacentral:rRNA from 1 species
UACAUGGGGUGCAAACGUUGCUCGGAAUUAUUGGGCGUAAAGGGCGCGUAGGCGGCUAGAUGUGUCAAAGGUGAAAUCCCUCGGCUCAACUGAGGAACUGCCUUUGAAACUGUCUGGCUUGAGGCCGGGAGAGGGUAGCGGAAUUCCCAGUGUAGCGGUGAAAUGCGUAGAUAUUGGGAGGAACACCAGUGGCGAAGGCGGCUACCUGGACCGGUUCUGACGCUGAGGCGCGAAAGCGUGGGUAGCAAACAGG